ACUUGCCACUCUUGAAGUUUUGGAAAAUCUCCUUACAUGGAGAAGAAUGAAAUGAAGCUCCCGAAUCAAGGAUCCAAGACUCAAUGGGACUAUCAACACUCAAGAUUAAUGCAUCACCGAUUUCAUCGCUUGAUACCAAGCUAACCGAUGAACUAGCAUCAUCGUGGCUCUUGUGGUUUGAACCACCCUUUUUCUUGGGAUUAGGAAAUUACCUCUUUGUAUGCCCUUUCACACCACACCCCAACACACAAUGUUCACCUUCCCCUUCGACUUACUCCUCCCUCUAGAAUUCGAUCUUCCUCUUUGAGCACCUCUUUGUUGUCUUCCACGUCCCCUACCUUCACUAGAAUAUGCACCACCCGAUGACUCACCCGAGUUCUUCCUUCUCAAGCUCUCAUUCAAGAUAAAGUCCCUCACAUCAUCACACUUCAACUUCGACUUUUCGGAAGAGUUGCUAAUGGCGGCUACAACGAUAUCCCAACUUCUAGCAAUAGUAGAAAAACAGAAAGCAGCACCGCCCUUUUCGCACCAGUUUUUGGUGCCAAAAAAAAUAGGCGGGAUUGAGGGAAAGAGUUUUCGCACCGGUUCUAACCAAACCGGUGCGAAAAAUGAGUUAAUCACACCGGUUCGGUUCGAACCGGUUCGAAUUCUAUUGUAAAAAAAAUAAAAAAAACCGGUCUUUUUAAUCUUCUUUCUUUCUCUUUCCUCGAUCUCUCCUCCUCUCUCAUCUGCCUCUCUCUCCUUCUCUCUCCUACGGUUCAACAAUGGAGGCUCAGCUCUUUCCUCAAACUCCUUCUCUCUCCUUCAAUCUCCUUCUCCAUAACCGCCGCUUUCCCUUUCCUUUUCUCUCUCCUUCGAUCUCCUUUUCCAUAACUGCGCCGCAAGCAACACCGCUCUCCUUCUCCUUCUCAGUCCGAAAUCGGUGUCAUUAGAACCAAGCACAACCACCAUCGCCGCCGCCGUCAAUUUGAACCAAAUACAACAAAAACAACAACAACAAACUUGAAUCAAUUAUCGAUUCAAAAUUCACAAAUUCAAGGUAUGUGCUCUUCGAUUUGAAAUCUAGGUUUUAUGAUUUUUUUUUUUUAUUAAUGAUGAACAAUUGAAAUUUUGAUUGAAUUCAAUGGUGAGAAUGUGAGAUGAUAGGAUUUCUAAUUUUUAUUUAAUUUUUUGUGAUUAUGGUGACGGUGGUCGGUGCUAGUGGUGGUGGGUUCUUGGGUGUGGCACGGUGGUGGUAUCGUGGGUGCGGUGGUGGUUUCGUGGUUGCGGUGGUGGUUUCGUGGGUCGUGAGCUGCUGCUACGAGUCUAUAGUUUCUAUAACGCACUGCUAGGAGUUAAUUCUCAACCUUUACUUAAGCUGUAAAUGGGGUGUAAGAUCAAGUGGUCAACAUGGUCGUAGCAAAUGGGAGCUGCAUGUUGAUGGUUCUGUGAAGGUGAACUUCGAUGCUGCCUUGUUGGCUGGAAUUGGUGUAGGCCUUGGAGUUGUAAUUCGUGAUGGGGUUGGCAGGAUGUUGGUUGCUAGUGUGAAAAGAGUUCCUGCAGGUGAUGUUCUUGUCAUUCUUGCUGAAGCAAUGGCAGCAAGAUAUGGUGUUUAGAUUGCAAAACAACUCCAGUUUGGCAGAGUGGAAUUAGAGGGGGAUUUAUCUUGUUUUAACAUCCAUACUAGUUUGUUUGCAGCUAUCGCAUCGAAGCUAGGGAAUGUAAAGGUAGAUAAUCUUAGUCCAAUUACUAUUGCAAUAGAGGUAGGUUCUCUGUUCUCUACUAUGACAAGAAAAAAAAAAAAGAGUAGAAAUAAGAAAUUCCUCUUACAAAGUUCAUGCCUUCCUUUUAAUCUGUUUGUUGGUGGUGGUUGAAUUCAUUUUUACCAUCCUUUUUCAUUCACCUUUGAGCUGACACAUCUAAUAUUUGCAGGUGCUUGGUCUGGUGAUGGCUGGUUUUGUCUUCUGUUUGUUUUGUUAGCUGCUAGUUCUUGGUGGGCUACUGGCCUGUUGUUUCUCAGCGUCGUCUGUUGUCUGUUGUAUGUUGCUCUACUGCCUGCCAACUGCUGUUGUUUAGUGGUCUGCUUUGCAAGGUGAUGCUCAUCAGGUUGCUGGGCUAUUGCUGCUUUGUUGUCUGUUGUUGCUCUGUUGAUUGCUGGGUUGUUGCCUGGUUCUUUAUUGUUCUUUUGCUUCUGUAUUAGCUGCAGCCUAUUUUUUUAUCUGUGUGUUCCAGUUGUUGUUCUCUGUCUAUUGCUUCCUGGCUUCUAGCGCUGCAUCAACUUGAUUAUGUGCUGUUGCUGGUCAUCGCUGCUGAUGCUUUGUUGGGUUCAGUGCUUCUGGUUUUGCUGGUGCUGUUGCUGUUAUGCUGGAUGUGUUGUUGUUGUUUGCUUGUUGUCCUGGUUACUCAGAGGUCGCUCUGGUGUGCUUUUUGGUGUCGCAAGCUUGCUGCUGAGUUGUCUAGAGGUGUAUUCUUCUAGCUGUUGUUCAUGUUGCACUGCUGCUGCCUAUUUGCUUUGUACAUUUUGUUUGGCAAAUUCUUGAUGUUGAAACUUUUGGCUUUGUUUUUCUUUCCAAAAAAAAAAAACCCAACAUAGUAUGCUUCUGUACGAUUGUAUACAUCUUUUUAGUGUUGUAUGUAUCCAGUUCAUUGCACAGCCAAUAAUCAAUGUAGCUAUGGCAUUUUUCCGAGUGCAGUACUUUUU